AACGAACGCUGGCGGCGUGCCUAAUACAUGCAAGUAGAACGCUGAAGGAGGAGCUUACUUCUCUGGAUGAGUUGCGAACGGGUGAGUAACGCGUAGGUAACCUGCCUGGUAGCGGGGGAUAACUAUUGGAAACGAUAGCUAAUACCGCAUAAGAGUAGAUGUUGCAUGACAUUUACUUAAAAGGUGCAAUUGCACCACUACCAGAUGGACCUGCGUUGUAUUAGCUAGUUGGUGGGGUAACGGCUUACCAAGGCGACGAUACAUAGCCGACCUGGGAGGGUGAUCGGCCGCACUGGGACUGAGACACGGCCCAGACUCCUACGGGAGGCAGCAGUAGGGAAUCUUCGGCAAUGGACGGAAGUCUGACCGAGCAACGCCGCGUGAGUGAAGAAGGUUUUCGGAUCGUAAAGCUCUGUUGUAAGAGAAGAACGAGUGUGAGAGUGGAAAGUUCACACUGUGACGGUAUCUUACCAGAAAGGGACGGCUAACUACGUGCCAGCCGCCGCCGUAA
rnacentral:rRNA from 1 species